AGAUCGCAGCCCAGAGUCUGCGGAGGCGCACCGUUUCAUCAACAGCAGGGACUGAAACUUCAGCCCAGGAGAAGCCAAGAUGGCACCGUUAUCGCACCCUGGGAAUCGAGGACCGGGAAGAACUUAAUGAUGCGAUUCCUCCCGUGAUCUCAGUGAUUGUAUCAGGCGAAAACGAGGAGGGCAAAAUACCGUCCAGAUGUAAACUAGGAGCAGCCGCACCAGCAGCACCAGCAGAAUGCCGUGGUAGUGCGGCAGGCCCUGGCCCCAUGGACAAAGAGAAACUCGUCAGUGGCAGUGGCCACGAACUCAGAAAGCCUGAGGACAGUCAGCAGCUCCUCUGGCUCUUCACUUUCACACUGGUGCAACUACAGGAGCUGAAGAACAUUUUUCAACUCGUUCCAUACCCGGACGUGUUAGUUUCAGAUGAGUUUCCAAUGUUUAUAUUCUAGUUGGACCACAAAUAACGAGUCUCAUCUCAGCACCCGAAGGUUAGUAAUAGAUUUCAAGCAGGCAGAAUAGAAAUUAGAGGAAGAUGGAGAGCUUUAAAACACUCUGCUUAACUUUCUAGUUGCAGGUUACCACUCGAGCUCUGAAUUUUUCUUGCUGUAAUUUUCUCAUCAUUUAAAAAUGUGCACAAAAAUACGUCAUAAUAUGUAACCAGCUGUAA
rnacentral:lncRNA from 1 species